rnacentral:rRNA from 1 species
GACGAACGCUGGCGGCGUGCCUAACACAUGCAAGUCGAGCGAAGUUAUUCCUUCGGGGAUAACUUAGCGGCGGACGGGUGAGUAACACGUGGGUAACCUGCCUUCUAGAGGGGGAUAGCCUUCCGAAAGGAAGAUUAAUACCGCAUAACAGCAGAUACUCGCAUGGGGAUUUGAGAAAAGGAGCAAUCCGCUAAAAGAUGGAACCGCGGCGCAUUAGCUAGUUGGUGAGGUAACGGGUCACCAAGGCGACGAUGGGUAGCCGACCUGAGAGGGUGAUCGGCCACAUUGGGACUGAGACACGGCCCAGACUCCUACGGGAGGCAGCAGUGGGGAAUAUUGCACAAUGGGGGAAAACCUGAUGCAGCAACGCCGCGUGAGUGAAGAAGGCCUUCGGGUCGUAAAGCCCUGUCAGAUGGGAAGAAACCUGGGUAACCAGCUGACGGUACCAUCAGAGGAAGCACCGGCUAACUCCGUGCCAGCAGCCGCAGUAAGAC